AUGUCCUUUUCGGUGACCCAUCGGCCUCGCCCCACCACACGGUCCAACUCCUCAGUGGCUUUGGCAAGCACCUCUGGCUUCUUCAGGAGCUCUGAGAGGGCCCAUUCCACUGUCACCGCCGAGCUCUCCGUGCCGCCAGCAAUGAGGUCCUACAGUGAAAGCCUUGACGCCCUCUCUGUUGAGCUUGACCUCGAGACCGGGAUCGCUGGCGAACUGCAGCAGCACGUCCACCAUGUCCUUGACCACGAAGCUCUCCCCCUCGUGCCCACGCCGCUCGCUGUGCUCGUCCACGACGUGCUCCAGGAACCGGUCGAACAUCUUGCUCAGCUUCUUCAUCCUCUUGAUGUACCCCUGCAGGUCCAUCCAGUCGAGCCACGGGAUGGAGUCGCCGAUGUUGAGCACGCCGUUGAGCAGGAACAGCUCGUCGAUCAUCCACUUGAACUCCUCAGGCGUCGUGAUCACCGCCCCUGCCUCGUCCCUCACCUCCUUCUCCAGGUACUUCUUGCCCAUCACCAUGCGCGUGAUCACGUUCAGGCUCACCGUGGACAGGUAGUCCUUGAGCACCACCACGCGGCCGGCACCGGCGCCGCCGCGGUACAGGUCGCCGAGGAGGGCGAGCACCUCCUCCCUGCGGAUGUACUCGUACGACUCGAGGCGCUUGGCGCUGAAGAGCUCGGUGAGGCACAUCUUGCGGGCCUGGCGCCAGUAGGCGCCGUAGGGGGACCAGGUGAUGUCGCUGUAGUUGUAGGUGGUGUACCUGCCGGCGGCGGUCUUGGGGCGGUCGGUGAACACCACGUCGUGGGUCUUGAGGAAGAACUUGGCCAUCUCCACGGAGGAGCCGACAACGACGGGGAAGGACCCGAACUGGAGUUGCAUGAGCGGGCCGUACUUCUUGGACAGCGCGUGGAUGGAGCGGUGCGGGAGCGUGCCGAUGAGGUUGAGGUUGCCGAUGAUCGGCCACGGCUUGGGGCCCGGCGGGAGGUUGUACUGGCGGCGGCGGCGGAGGACGGCCUUGAGGAAGAGCACCGUGGCGAGCACCACGCCGAGGAAGGACGCUAG
rnacentral:rRNA from 1 species